GGGGCUGCGAGCUUCUCCGCGCGGCGGGUGCAGAGAAGUUGGCGGACGCCAGAGGAGGGAGCGGCGGCCUCGGGCACCGAGACCCAGCAGCGCGCCAGCCUCCCGACCGGACCACUCGUGCUCCUGCCCCAGGAGCCCCGCACCCGGCGGAGCAGGAAGCGCUCUGCGGCUUCAUUGCGCCCCCGCCGUCCCGGUUGGGCCCCAGCGAGCCGCGGGCGAUACACGGAAGGUGGCGGUCACAGCGGAACGAGAGUUUGGACCUACGUAACCUGUGAUUUGUGUAACUGGCCAAAGCAGCCUUGAGCCCAAAUGGAAGGCCUCUAUGCAAAAUAAAAGGACGGACUUCUUCUAAGAAAAGGAUGCUGUAGAAAUCCUCCCAAUGAGACAUUUCUUUUCAAAUUUUUUUUUCAGCAGGGGAGAUUUUUAAAAUCUAUUUUUAAAAUUAUAUUUUGGUUUUUAAAAAUUGUUUAAGAUUUUAUAUUAUUUUAUUUUAUUUUGGUCACAGCUGCAGCAUGCAGAAGUGCCCAGCCAGGAAUCAAACCCACUCCACAUCAGUGACAACACUAGGUCCUUAAGCUGCUGAGCCACCAGGGAACUCCUGACUUUUUAAAUUUUAAUCCAACCACAUGACACUCCUCUGAGGACUAUAGUGACAUUUGCGUGAUGGCUGCUCAGAGUUAGGGGUGCUGUCCAGCCAGCCCCCAUCAUACAUCUAAAGAUUUCAAAGUUAUUCAUCAAGCUAGCAAGCUACUAUAUACUUUAUACCUUCCUAUCUUGACCAAAGUAACAACAUUGAAAGAUAAGAAAACCUGUAAUUUUCAGAUGGUAAAUGUUAGGAGAAUAUCAAAGACAACUGAAUAUACCACAUGCAUAUCAAAUUUCCUGUUUAUAGUCUGGCUGUAUGGACCAGUAAUAAAAUGAAGACAUACAUAAUUCAUGCAUUAGUAUACAUUUAUUCCAUGAAUUUGAUUUUCCCUUUAUUUUAUUUUUUCUUUUUAUGGCCACACCUGCAGCAUGUGGAAUUUCCUGGGCCAGAGCUUGAAUUGAAGCUGCAGCUGAGGCUACUGUCACAGCCAGAGCAACACCCAAUCCAAGCCACAUCUGUAGCCUACAUACAGCACAGCUUGCAGCAACUCGGGAUCCCCAACCUACUGAGCAAGGCUAAGGAUCGAACCCACUUCCUCACAGAGACAAGAUCAGGUCCUUAACCCACUGAGCCACAAUGAGAACUCCUUCCCUUUAUUUUAGUAAAAUGGCUAAUAUGUUGCUGUAAUUGAGACUGCCACAUAAUUUUUGUUCUAGUGACAGUGACAGUAGUGAUCUGAAGUUACUCUUUUCUGUGUAGAAUAUUUAUAGCCACAUUUCACCCAGUUUUGUUCCUCACUGGUUCUUGUAAGCACUCAGUAGCCUCCUGUGGUUAGUGGCCACUGUACUGAGCAGCACAGCUAUAGAAUAUUUCCGUCAUCACAGAAAGCUCUGUUGGAAAACACUGAUAAAGGGUCAGAAUAGUCUAAUGACGCAACAUUUAAGCAUAUAUUUCGUCAAAAAUGUAAAUUCAAAAUUUUUUAAAAAGAAAAAAUUACUUUCCUAUAGUUGUUGAAAGUUACCUUCUUCCAAAUGGUUGAAAGAUCUCUACUAGAAUUAAAAUUCAAAGUACAAAUUAUCAUUAUGAAAACCAGCGUUGAAAUGAAAAUUAUUCAUAAAAAGCUUAACAUUUUUCUGUAAUAUUUUGAUGUCAGUGAUACCUGAUUAACUUUUAAGGAAAUCUGUCAGCCAUUCCAGGUCUCCAUGUCCACCUAAUUGUCAAUGUAAAGAAUCAAUAUCAUGUUUCGCAUAGACUGUAACUACACAGCUACCAUUUUUUGUUUGUUUCUUUUGUUUUUUGGCUACUCCAUGGCACGUGGAAGUUCUCGGGCCAGGGCUUGAACCCACGCCACGACAGUGACAACACCAGGUCCUUAACCCACUGAGCCACAAGGGAACACCAAUAGCUAUCAUUUUAACCAUACUGUUAAUUAUUUAAUUUUGAAAGAUGUUCCUCAAUCACCAGUUUCAAUGACAGGUACCUGCUACUCUUGUGCGUGACUUCUGCCCCAACUGGAACCGAAAAGAAGCAAGAAAAUUGGUGAUUGGAAUGACUAGGAAACGCCCCUCGUCAUUUAAGACUGGUUUCUGCUAUCUGAACAGAAGGGUUUGCUUUCUAACUGAUUUGACUUUUCUUUGUACUAAGUGCCUUUGAAUGACAUCAUCCACACACACACCUAGGAGUGUCCAUCUGCCAUGUCACACUGGCAGGCACACUCCCCAAACCUUCACAGUGCCCUCCCAAGGCCAGAGGACAAAAGCCAGGCUAAAGCACUUCUGUGGAGCCUGAACAGAGUUGGUUUGGAAUUACUUUUUUUUUUUUUCUUUUUCUUUUUUGGCUGCCCCUCAGCACAUGGCGUUUCCAGGCCUAGGAUCAGAUCUGAGCUGAAGUUUCAACCUACCCUGCAGCUAUGGCAAUGAUGGAUCCUUAACCCACUGUGCCCGGCCAGGGAUCAAACCUGUGUCUUGGCACUGCAGAGACGCUGCUGAUCCCAUUGUGCCACCAGGAACUCCUAGGGUUAUGUUUUAUGGUCUCUUAACACAAGAUCCCUAGGGACCCUGAUGACCAGGUGCCUCUUAGUAAAUUUAUUUUUAUAGGUUAGACUCAGGGCCCAGGCCCAGGGUCUCUGGGCAGAACAGCCCACUGUCUCUGUGAAGUGAUGGUGCUUUGGCAUCAGCAUCUCUAUUUGUGAUACUUAUCCCAACCCCAAUGAAAGACAAAAUGUAAGUUAAAAAAAGAAAGCUGAUCUGACCAUAAUUCACCCUUCCUAUCCUCAAUGUGAGGUUGCCUUUGGCGGCCAACCACAGGCAGAACGUUCCUGAUCCUUCAAAAGUAUCACACACCUGCUGAAAAGCAUAGACAAAAAGAUCAUUUAAAUACCUCCCAGGGUUGUUUAAUUAGGACUAAUGUGACCCAGAAGAAAAGGAAAAGACUGUCAUUGUUUUUGUUAGGGUUUGUCCUCUAGGCUCUGCUGCAAUGAUUAAUUCCCAUUUUUAGAGGCAUGUUGAGAUCCCAGAAGUGUAUUUUGAGAUAAUAAAUGGAAAAUGGAAAUAAGCAGCCUUGUGUGGGUUUCAGGAUGAUGUAUUCUCUUUCACUGAUCCAAGAUAGCCUGUCAUUAAAACAAGAAGAAGAAGAAGAAAGGAAGGAAGGAGGGAUGGAUGAAAGAAGGAAGGAAGGGAGUUCCUAUGUGACUCAUCAGACUACAAACCCAACUAGGAUCCACGAGAAUGUGGGUUCGAUCCCUGGCCUCGCUCAGUGGGUUAAGGAUCCAGCAUUGCCAUGAGCUGUGGUGUAGGUCGCACACGCAGCUCCCACAUUGCUGUGGCUGUGGUGUAGGCUGGCAGCUGCAGCCCCAAUUGGACCCUUAGCUGGGGAACCUCCAUAUGCUUCAGGCGUGGCCCUAAAAAGACAAAAAAUAAAAAAGAAAGAAAGAAAAAAAA
rnacentral:lncRNA from 1 species